UCUGUAUUUUCUCCUCUGUUCCCUCUGGACCUCCUUUACCAACCGAACCCAACCCCAACCCCAGCCCCAGCCGAUCCUAAUCAAACCCAUCGUGACCUCGCCUAUGCCGGCCAGAACCCGUCGCCGCUCGACUUUUUGGCUGCCAGAACCUUCGCGACCCUUCCCCUCCGACGCCCGUUCUGCCCCUACGCUACCCUCCCCUCUCGACACCACCUCUGCCUCUCCCUGUCCCCCACGGCCUCCGUUGCUUCCCCCUUCUUUCUCAUCCCAUUCUCACACUCUCAUCUCAGUCUCUCACCAAGAGGAGUGCCCUGUCUUGCAACUCUCACUUCACUCGUAGUUGUGCUGAAAUUUGCAAAUUUUUCAAAAAAAACAAAAGGGUAAUUACUGUUAAAUGUUUCAGGUUUACCAUCUGAGGAUAAAAAUGGAGAAAGGAGAGCUUAGAGCAGGGAAAUCCUUGGAAGAAAUCCCAACUUGGACUGGUGCUACUGUGGUCACUGUUAUGGUUUCUUUUGGUUUCCUGUGUUAUCACUCUUUGAAAAAGUUUGGGAAGAAUUGAUGCCUUUUGGGUUUCUCUCGUUGUUGAUGGGUCAUUGGAUUGCAUUGUUUGCUAAAAUUUGUGUCAAAUUGUCAGCCUUACAACCUGUGAUAGAUCUUUUGCUGGAUUUGCAUCUGAUGAACGUGGAACCAGAGCUGCAACUUUCAGAUUUUAUUAAGGCUGGAGCAGACAUAUUCAGUUUUCUCUCUUAGCAAUCUUUAACCAUCCAUUUGCAUCAUACACUUAAUCAAGUAAGAAUUUUCUUUCUCUGAGUCUUUCUACUAUUUUUUCCAUGAUAAAUUGGGGAAUCUACACUAGCAGUUAUUUCGUUUCAUAACAGCUGCUUAUCAAAUGAACUGUUGAUUAACCCACAUUAACUUUACAUACAAGAUGUGAAUGGAGUGAGCAAAUAUUAUCUUCAGCUCAAGUGAAUCCCAAACUUGAAUGCAUUUCAAUUAGUGAGGUCAUAUAAACCAGAAAAGUAAGCCAUGUUUUCUCAUGCACAAUUUCACUUGCUUUUUCACUUGGAAGUUGUCAUCUAAUAUUAUUUUGGAAUAUUGCUAUAUGGAUACCUACUUUAGGUUGAAAACUAGCAAUGAAGAAACUUUAUUUGACAAAUCUUUUACCCUGUAUCUGGGCUUCAUACCACAUGAUAUGCUAAUGGGACAGGAAUGUUCAGAAUUCUUAGGAGCCUAUUAAAGCUGGUUCUGUGUUUUGAACUUAUUUGUCUUCACUAUUCUUCAGAGACAUGACCAAAGAAUUAGGCAUUGACGCUUGAUCAGGACAUUUGUAAUGGCUGCAUAAUGUUCUGUUCUGUAUUUGCGCCCUAUUUUUGUUGCUACAGCUUUGGUGCAUGGCGCAUUACUGGAUAUGUAAGCUUUAUGUUUGUAGGUGUAAAGUUAGUAAAAAUUAUGUAAACUUUAAAACUUUAUGGUGCAUUACUGGAUAUUUUGCCUUCAAUUUGAAGUUUUAACAA